GUAAUAUUAGUAUAAUUUAUUAUUUUUGAUUUUCGAUUAAAAGAUUGAUAUUAUG
rnacentral:tRNA from 1 species